rnacentral:rRNA from 1 species
UACGUAGGGUGCAAGCGUUAAUCGGAAUACUGGGCGUAAAGCGUGCGCAGGCGGCUUUGCAAGACAGAUGUGAAAUCCCCGGGCUCAACCUGGGAACUGCAUUUGUGACUGCAUCGCUGGAGUGCGGCAGAGGGGGAUGGAAUUCCGCGUGUAGCAGUGAAAUGCGUAGAUAUGCGGAGGAACACCGAUGGCGAAGGCAAUCCCCUGGGCCUGCACUGACGCUCAUGCACGAAAGCGUGGGGAGCAAACAGG